AUAAAUAUAGCUUAAAUUAAAGCAUUGAUUUUGUAAAUCAAUUAUGACGUACUCUAUUUAUA
rnacentral:tRNA from 1 species